AUGAGGCUUUGGACAAGCAACGACUCUGAUGCAAGACAUUUUCGGCAAAAUAUAAGAUUUUUCAAUGGGCAUUUCUCGUUUACUACACUAUACUACCAGCUCCACAGAGACACAACAGACAUGCGAACGGCCGGUAUUUACACCUUUCGAGCACAUGGUCAAAUAUAUCACAACAUACACUCAUUUGGUAAUAGUCACUCAGAUCCAAAGCAUCUGGAACUAUAUUUCUACGACGAUGAUCCAAGCUUAGAGCAUCGAUACCGUCGUUGCCGUGAGGAAAUGUACGAGCAAGACAAGCAUGUGAUUGCAAUAAUAACAGAUAUCCUACGCGGUAACCCGUACUCUCAACAGUUUAGGAGUUUGGGACAAGCCCAAAACCUUGAGGACUACAGACUGACCUUGAACCUUGACCAGAGAUUGGACCAAAGAACAUACAACGAGCCAAUCAAUUCGGAGGUAGCUGCAGUGUGGAUUGAAGGAAAUGAAAGAAGAGAUACUUAUGACAGAAAUGUAAUAUUACAUGGGAACAACAACGAAAAAGAGCACAUUCUAUCAUAUUACGGGUGCUAUGAUCCGUUAUCGUAUCCUCUAUUCUUUCCAAGAGCUGAACUGGGUUGGCAUAGGAAAAUCCCGAAGAGGGAAACACGAGAGGAAGAUAUUGGUGCUGAAAAUAUCAGUAAUGACGAUGACCCAGAUUCGGCCAAUGGCCUAUGGGUAACAAUGAAAGAAUACUACUGCUAUAAAUUCCAUACACGACCAGGCAUAUUCAACCCAAUUUUGCAUGGCGGACGCCUUUUCCAGCAGUUUGCUGUAGAUACAUACAUCAAGAUUGAAAGCUCCAGACUGGAUUACAUCUGGCAUAAUCAAAAGAAAAUAAGGGCUGACCUAUACUAA
rnacentral:rRNA from 1 species